GUGGGGAAUAUUGGACAAUGGGCGAAAGCCUGAUCCAGCCAUGCCGCGUGUGUGAAGAAGGUCUUCGGAUUGUAAAGCACUUUAAGUUGGGAGGAAGGGCAGUAAGUUAAUACCUUGCUGUUUUGACGUUACCGACAGAAUAAGCACCGGCUAACUUCGUGCCAGCAGCCGCGGUAAUACGAAGGGUGCAAGCGUUAAUCGGAAUUACUGGGCGUAAAGCGCGCGUAGGUGGUUUUGUAAGUUGGAGGUGAAAUCCCCGGGCUCAACCUGGGAACUGCCUCCAAAACUGCAGGAGUAGAGUACGGUAGAGGGUAGUGGAAUUUCCUGUGUAGCGGUGAAAUGCGUAGAUAUAGGAAGGAACACCAGUGGCGAAGGCGACUACCUGGACUGAUACUGACACUGAGGUGCGAAAGCGUGGGGAGCAAACAGGAUUAGAUACCCCGGUAGUCC
rnacentral:rRNA from 1 species